rnacentral:lncRNA from 1 species
GGGAUACAGACUUAACGUUUUCUGAUGAAUGCACCGAUAGUGCUCCAAUAUAUUACAAUAAAGAUUCUUUUCAGAUGAGUUAUUAUGAGUUAGAGUAUGUAUGGAGCUCUAUGUUUUGUAUCAUGUGCUUCGAGAGUCCAUGAUUAUCAUUUCAACCAUUCUAGAAAGACCAAAAUUUUGGGCAUACACUAGCAAGGAGAAUCAUCUGGACCAAUCUUGAAACGACACAUGGCAAGGAGACGUGUCCAAUUGCUACGAAUAGGACACGUGGAUAUUUUCAAAUGAGCGGAAUUCACAGGAGUGGCGAUUGGAGCUCUUUUAGCCGUAGGUGGGCUACUUUGCUUUAGGUUUCACCGGAAACGACUUCGAAUCGGUAGUAGCAGUUCUAAGAGGUAGCGACUAUCCCCAUUCGUGCAAAUGGUGCUGAUACUUGCACCAUCUUAUCCAAUUCGUCAAUGGGUACUGAAUCGUCAAGAACGUCUGUACAAAAUGGCGUCCCGUUGUGGCUUGGUGGUCUUAAGAAGGGUCAUGUGGUCGCUGCUUCUGGAAUUCUCGAGUAUUCUUACAAAGAUCUACAGAAAGCAACCUACAAUUUCACCUCAUUGAUAGGCCAAGGGGUGUUUGGUUUUGUUUAUAAAGCUUAGAUGACCACUGGUGAAGCAGUUGCCGUUAAAGUUCAUCGAAUUCUUCUUCAUCUUGACUGGCGCAUCUGCUGGAGCUUGCAGCGCGAUUAGCUGAGUUAUUGCAGAUCUUCCUGAGGGUCCUCGAACUCUGGUGGGAAUUGCGACAUUUGACUCGAGCAUCCAUUUUUAUAAUCUAAAACGUGCAUUACAGCAGCCUUUGAUGUUCAUAGUUCCCGACGUACAGGAUGUUUACACUCCGCUUCAAACCGAUGUUAUUGUUCAACUAUCCGAGGCUGCAUUUUUGGCAAUGAAGAGCACCGGAGGCAAACUUUUGGUAUUUCAAUCAGCCAAGCCCAUGCAUAAUAUUGGUAUCGGGGCUUUUUCUGCUAGAGAAGCUGAAGGGAGAACAUAUAUAUGUGCCGGAGAGAAGGAACUUCAUAAACUACUUCAACCAGUAGACGAGACUUUAAAGACUAUGGCUAUCGAAUUUGCUAAGUACCAGGUCUCAGUCGAUGUAUUUCUUACUACUCAAAGUUAUGUUAACAUUGC